CCUGGGCUCUAGCAGCACAGAAAUAUUGGCACAGGGAAGCGAGUCUGCCAAUAUUGGCUGUGCUGCUCCAGGCAGGG
rnacentral:pre_miRNA from 8 species